GGGGGCGUAGCUCAACAGGAUAGAGCAAGCGGUUCCUAACCGCUAGGUUGGCGGUUCAAGUCCGCCCGCUCCCGCCA
rnacentral:tRNA from 1 species